UUUAUUCUCUCUUAUUUCCAUUUGCUUGCACAUUUUCUCUCCAUUUCCUAUUUCCUCCUCUUGAAAAAGAGCCUUUGCAUAGCCUUGGGAGUAGCCUGUCUGCUUUGUUGGGAGUAGUUUGCUUAGUUGUGACUGCAAUCCAAAAGAAUAAAGGAAGAAGCAAACAGUUUAUGCCUCAGAAUUUCCAGAAUUGGCUAGAGUUUUCUCUUCCCUUUUAAAUCUUUCAUUUUGUUCAGUUCAUAAACAUGAUUUCAAUUAAGCAUUUUAUUUUUAAUAAUAUCAUGAUUACUUAAAUUUAUUUGUGUUGGAAUGAUUUGAUUUCCUUAUUUUUUUAUUUAAUUCUAUUCAGAGAUG
rnacentral:lncRNA from 1 species